UGACACCACUCAACUGAGACAUAAAGCAAUCAUGAUACCUUUGUCCUUGAUUGAUAAAGAUGAAUACAAUGCGGUAGCGCCUAUACCGCUCAUGCAUUCAGUUUGAUUAGUUAGUCAAGGAAGGAACCAAAGGAAACAAAAUGCAAAGUCACCAUGGAGAAAUUGUUUGAUCUGAAUACUAAGAUACUCC